CACCCAAUCACCCGCGUCUCGCCCCACUCCCACCCCAGCCGCCAAACGAACCCUAGCCCUCUUUCUCUUUCCCCUCGAUCCCCACGAGCCGCCGCACCCCUCCCUCGAUCCCCACCAUCGUCUCCUCGCCAGCAGCCUCCGGCCGACCUCGUCUCUCCACUCGCCUCCUCCUCUCCUCUAUCAUGUCGCCGUCGAUCCCACUGCCAGCCUUCUCCUGUGCUUGCCUCCUCCUGUCCUCUUCCAUGUCACCGUCGAUCCAGAUCGGACGUAGGUCGUCUUCGCGAUGUGGGUGCGGAUGUAGGGGAGGUGUAGGAUGCGGACGACAAGGGAAGGAGGAGGCCGGCGAGGAAGGCAAGCACAGCGGGGGAGGAGAAGGUGAGCGAUCCUAGCAUGGGGAAGGGGCAGGGUGAGGCCUCGCUCACCUGUCGGCAGCCGAGUUGUUGCGCCACCGCGUCGUCACCUCCUCUGCACCAUGAGAGGCGCCACCUCUGCCUCCAACCCCCCACUGGGCAAGGAGCUCGAGGCAGGCGGUCUGGGAAGGCGAGAGGAACCAGGAGCUCAUCCCUCCUCCCAUGGCUGCCUCGUGGAUCUGGAGGUGUCUGUUGCAGGCGGCGCGAGCGAUGCAAGCCGGCGGCGAACUAGGUCCAUGGACAUUGUCAUAAUGGUCACCUUAUCGCAGUGUAUUAUUUUUGGAUCUCAUAUUCCUCAAGGCGCUCCAUCCUCUGAUUCAAUGUCUGACGAUCUAAGAAAUAAGAGGAGGAAUAAUCUAGCAGAAGAAUUUGGUGAAGAAGAACAAGGUGGUAUUUCUCUCGUGUGAACACAAUCAAUUGUUUUCUUGAUGUUAUCACCCAUGUGUUAAUGUUGUAGAAGAUUUAUCAUUUGACUUCUUCUUUUAGGUUUAAUUUGUGUUUAAUUAAUGCCCACAGAUUGUGAUGUCCAUAUAUGGGGAUUUUUUUGUCAAUUUUGUUGCUUCAGUAUGUAGGUGCUACUGUCCAUGUGGGAUAUCUAAUAGGUCAGACUGGUUUGCUAGCUUAAUUUUUUAGCUUGAUGUUUUCAUUUAGGGGUGUCCUCUUCAGCUGCAUCUUUUGUGCAGCUACAAAAUUCUAUGUUUCAAAGCACUUAUUUCCAUAUUCUGUUUAUUAUUUUUAAGUCAUGAAAACUCUUUUCGGUCUGCUUGAUCACUCCACUUCCAUGUUUAUCCUUGCAGAAAAGAAUACCUUUAUCCUGAUAGGCAUGGAAACACCGGUUCGCAUUGAGUGCAUCAUCGCUAAUCAGCUACUAUGUAUGGUCAGCGGACAUGCUUGCUUAUUCCUGUAACAUAUCAUUACUCUAUCUGCUUAGCCUUUCUAACUUUUAAGAUUUGAUCAAUUCUUUAGAAGUUCAUACAGAUCUGGAAGUAUUUGGUUUUGUUGGUCAAAUCCGUUACAUGUAUGUCCUUGUUUAUUUUAUUGUUCGAACAAGAUAUCAGAUCACCUACAUUCAUUAUUCUUGAUUACAGUCUCGUACUAAAGUAAUCUAAAAUGGUCCGAAUAGUUGUAGUAAUUCAUAAAUAUUUUCAGUGUAGUUCUUAUUUGGUUUCUAGGCAUAGAUUUUACUUCAAAAUUUUGAUCUUUAUUUGGUUAGUAAGGCUCUAGAAUAAAACAGACCAAUGAUAUAUAUACAAAUAGACACAAUAGGAGUUAACUGGUACCUAGCUUUUGAAACCUCUGAUAUAUACAAAAUAUUAUUUGAGUAGAACAGGAGAGAUGCAAUCUUAUGGAUAUUUCUGCAUUUGUAAGAAACUUUCCAGCUUGACAAGAGGGCUUGACUAGCCAUGUGUAGGACUCAGCCAUGCUGCCUUCCAAAUGAUUAGUCAUUGGUGUUUUCUUAUGUUCCUGUUAGCCCAAGUGCAACAGAUAAGUAGACUGUUAUGUUGAAAAAAGGAAAGAGACUACUCUUUUGUUACUUACAGUACAGAUAUAAGCUAUAACAUCAGAGAGCAAUGGAUAUAGAAGAAAUAUGUAAACAGUUGUCCCUAGAAGAAAUAUGCAACUACUUAUUCAGUAGAGAGCAAGGGACAUAUAAGAAAUCUCCAGGUAGCUUCACUUAGAUGCAUCAUCUUCUGCUAGGAUUCAGCUUGAAGAACGACCUUCUCAGGUUAAUUCUUGGGAGACUGCAACUGACAUGCUGGAUGGGGAAUAACCAAAUUUGUGGACAAAGACAAAGAGUUCAUCGCAAGGGGUGGUGUUUAGGAUAUAUACACAAAAGAGGAAACUUUUUUUUGUACAGAACCAAAUUAUAUGAUGUAAUUGACCACUAUUUCUAAGAAAUGUUCAUCAUGUAUUAAGUACAUUUUAUUGUGUCACUUUUUUUGAGGGGUAGCUUUAUUCAUCAAACAUCACAAAGUGUGUGAUAGAGUUCAUCAAACCA